UCGGGGAUAUUGCGCAAUGGACGAAAGUCUGACGCAGCGACGCCGCGUGAGUGAUGAAGGCCUUCGGGUUGUAAAACUCUUUUAUGGGGGAAGAGGAAGGACGGUACCCCAUGAAUAAGCGUCGGCUAACUACGUGCCAGCAGCCGCGGUAAAACGUAGGACGCAAGCGUUAUCCGGAUUUACUGGGCGUAAAGAGCGUUGAGGCGGUUCUGUAAGUUGGGCGUGAAAGCCCUCGGCUUAACUGAGGGACGCCGUCCAAUACUGCAGGACUUGAGGGCAGCAGAGGGAGGUGGAAUUCCCGGUGUAGCGGUGAAAUGCGUAGAGAUCGGGAGGAACACCAGUGGCGAAGGCGGCCUCCUGGGCUGCUUCUGACGCUGAAUGCGAAAGCUAGGGUAGCGAACG
rnacentral:rRNA from 1 species